AUCGUACGGGCCUGACCCGCAGGGUUUUUGUGGGAGACUGUACUCGAGUGCUGAAGCACCUGCUCCUAGUCCUCGAUAAAUAUUGGAUAUUAUGAUCUCCGCUUCAGAGGCCCCGGGGGAGGGCUGAGGAUCAUUGAGUCCGUAUUUCUUCAUUAAGAGAAGAAAGCAGCCAUUUAACUAUUGGCAAAAUCAUCUCCCUAACAGUAAACUGUUCUCUCUCUCGCUCUCUUUUUCUUUCAUUGGCAGAAGAGCUAACACUGGCAGAUUCCUCCUAUGGGACCGGGGCCUGGUCUGUGUGUUAUCUGGAAGGCUCUGAUGGGGACUGCCGAAUGCUUUUUCAUGAUGACAGUGGUUUCGCCUUCUGAGGCACCUGCCCCCAAAUCAAUGAUGGGGCAUUUCUAAGUCCAGGGAGGAGGCCGCAGGAAGGCACAUCUCAGAGGCCAAGCACCCAACCCUACAGACUCUGCGCGAGCAAGUCGGACUAGUGUCUAGACUGAAGCCCUUCCCCUGGUGUGUGGAUUGGCCGAUCAGCCUCUUCAAAGGUUCAGCUCUGUCCACAGCGUAAUCCAUCAGCUGCACCAACCGAAGGUGACUGGAGGUCUGUCUGGCACACUGGCACUGGGAAGAGCAUGGGGAAGACACUGUCCCUGUAAAACUCUCACGGUUUUAUAUACACCAGCAAGUUUGCAGAUCUGACCUCUCCUGCCCACUUUGCAUCAGGAAAAAAGGAAAAAAAAUGGGAAAAAGGGGUAAAACGCCACUUUUGCCCGCACUUCUAAUGUGUGUCUAUGAUUCCAAUGAGCUUUUACACGUUCUGUUCUUUAAAAGCAAAAGAAACAAAAAAGAGAAGUGUGUAGGAAGAGUCUAUACAGUCCAUGGAAUCCUCCAGGCCAGAACACUGGAGUGAGUAGCCUUUCCCUUCUCCAGGGAUCUUCCCAACCCAGAGAUCAAACCCAGGUCUCCAGCAUUGUGGGUGGAUUCUUCACCAGCUGGGCCACAAGGAAGCCUAAGAAUACUGGAGUGGGUAGCCUGUCUCUUCUCCAGUGGAUCUUCCUG
rnacentral:lncRNA from 1 species